AUGCAGACACGGUGACGUUUAAGGCGCCCUUCUCCCUGCAGGGCCCGGCGGGAGCACAGCUGGGGGCGCGAGCCCCGCAGCAGCACUGGAAGGGGGGGGGAGAGGAGGGCGCGCGGGGCCGUCACGUGAGCGCGCGGGCUGACCUACUUUGGGCCAAUCGCAGCACGCGGAGCUCCGCGCGCCUCCCGCAGCAGCGCCACAGCGUGGAACCGCCGCAACGGUCGCUCCACGCGCCCCGCCCCGCCCCCUGCGUGGCGCCUCGCCUCGCUUCACCUCACGGCACCUCGGCCUCUGCGAGCCGGGCAGCGGCUGCCGCUUCUGUCUUCUAAAUACAUUUGGUUUUUUUUUGGGGGGGAGGGAGAAAAUUACAAAAGUAGCGGGGAGGAUGCAUAAGCAGGAGAGCGGCGUUUGGGGAGCGUGCAGAGAAGCCGUUCCCCGUGGUGAAAUACCUCGGCUUGGCACCGCCCUCCCGCAGGCUGCACGAAGACGCGGAAGGGACGGCGGCUCCAGCCUUUGUUUUAGCUGUAAAACAGCAGAGCACCCCCAGCUUAGCCUCGGGUGUCAGUCCACCUCCAUCUGCCCGGCAGGACCCGUUACCCAGAGAUGCACAGAAAGCCAAACGCUUACGUUCAGACACCCGCAUCCCAGGCAGAGCCCAGAGCCGGCAGCUCCUGAAGGGGAGCACGCAGCCCCAGCUGCACGCAGAAACAUCCCAACCCUGCGCCCGCACGGCUCCUGAGAGCCAGGACCUGUGCUGAAGGAACCACGAUCUGCCCCCUCCGUUUCUAUUAUUUCAUUUUUUUUUUCAAAGGUUUUUAAUGAAUGUGGGAGAGACAGGUUUGGAACAGCGUUGGGGUGAUGGCAGAGGAAGUUCUCUGAAGUAAUCUGGGGGCAGCGCCAAGAGCCAUUCCAGUUCUCAGAAAAAUAACCAGUUACUGCUUAUGUGCUGGGAGCUGAAAGAUUGAUCAUUUUUGCUGCCAACAUUUACAGUCAGUCCUGACCGUGACAGUAGAUCAAAUACAUGUACUUUUCUGGACAGCUGACCUGGUUUGAACUCAGUGAGUGUUACUCUCAAGGAUGACUACAUUUUUGGAAUAAAUACUUUGCUAUGUUUUUUAAAGCAACCAUAGCCUCACCAAGCACUAAGCAGCCUCUCAGGACUGUUUCAAACACCUGGUGCCCUUGGUGCCUUGGGGAAUUGUUCAGACCCUGCAGGUGUGACUAGCUGGUGAAAUGAGAUGACACAGCUGGACUGAGACGAGCCACAAAGUCGUCGCUGGCCUGUUCUGCAGUUGGACAUUGAUCUGAACGAGGGUAACUUCCAGCUGGUGCCAGUGGGAGAAACAAUUUGAUCCUUUCUCUGUGCUCGGCUCCUAUUCCUUUCUCACUUUUGGCUUGCGUGCAGCAGGAAGGCAGUUAGAAAUAGCUGUUCUUACAUGCUUAGGCUGUUUGAUUUUGGAACUUGGCGCUGGUUUUACUGGAGAUAGAAGAGCACCCACAAGCAGAGAAUGAAACAUCCCAUCCCCAGGCAGAGCUGUAACGGGAGAAAGGAGUGAAAGGAAGCCUGACCUGCUGGAAAACUGGGACAAGUCCUGCAGACAACAAUCAACCUUCCAAACAAUGGCAUUAGAAGUCAUGCUAUGCCUUUUUAUGAAAGAAUCGUCAUAACAGCACACAUUUUAAAAGAACAAGCAAGCAGUGCAAGAGUGCUCGUUACUAACCUGUAUGCAGUUUAUCCUGAAGGACUGGAUCCAUUAAGGCUUGCAGGGAUUCAUACGAGUGCUUACGGCUGAAGCCCUCUCAAUGAAUUCCGUUCACAUUGACGCAGACUCUGAAAACUCCAGUCCAACACACGCCACAGUCACAAUGGCAGGUGCGUUCCUCUUCAAAAUCAGGAAAGGGAUGGCUUCAGUUCUCAAAGAGAAACAAAGUUCAUCACAGCUACGGAAGCACUGGCACAGACCAGCUAAGAGGAAUGGAAAGACGACAGCAAAUAACUGAGCCGUACUGAGUCUGACUGCUUAAGCAAUGGAUGCUGUUCUUCUAAGGGGCUGGCACGUACCACCUACAAGCAGAGAGACACACAGCUACUUUGUGCUGAGCUCCACAGUAAGUAUGGACCAAAGUAAGUAAUAAAUACUUUUUUGUUAUGAAGCAAGAAUUGUGAGAAUACAUUAAAACAACACCCUUUCAGCCUGUUACUAAAGCUACUGUAACUAGACCUGAGUAAAAGAAGGGUUUUAUUUAUAGACAGACGUGACUUCAGGAUCAGUAUAUUAUAACAAUUAAGUCAAAUGUUCCUAGAAACUAAGAUAGAUGCCUUUUUUUCCAUAAUAAAUCUGAAGAAAAAUAAAUUCACUAAUUCGCUGUAUACCAAAAUUAGCAUAUUUAUUUUAUCCUAAUUGUGAAAGAUUCCAACGUAAUAAUUGUACUAAUCACUAGUAGGAGCCAAAAUCACCACCCACAACUUCCUGUUCAUGAUAUACAUGCUUCAUGGGAUGAGAUGACAGAUUUAGUACGAGACUUAUGUAUAUCUUGUACCUCAUUUGGGUCUCCUUCAUAAGCACCAAGCAAUUAUGUUUUGCUAUUGCAAAUUCUCAAAGUACACUUUUGAAAUCUUCCUAUUCCACUUUUGGCAAUCAACUGCUUCUGUGCCUCUUUCCAUUUCAAUUUUCACAUUUGUGCACCACAUAUACCAUGUAUGUCUAAGUAACUCUGCUAGCCCUCAGCUUCUCACUCCUACCUACUGAAAAGAAGUGAAAAAGAUGUGCCAACUGAAGGAACUGACAGAGCAGCACAUUGCCCCUCCUAUACAAGAUGAGCACUGAUGGCUUCAGCAUGCACCGACACUCCGAGCAAGGGGAAACCACAAGCAUUAAUCCACUCUCAGGGUGCUCCUAACUGUAUAGCCACGGAAAAUUAACUCAGCAUUAACUGCACAAACAGCUUUGGUUGUGCUUCCUACUGUAAUGGUUACCUAAUGUUUUGGCACCUGAAAUGAUGAGAUAGUUACUCCCUGACUGGUGUGCAGAUACAUGCACCCCAACAGACAUCUGGGCACCCUCCUCUCCUGACAGCCAGCAUCCUGGCCUGACCUGUGCUGGUGGGUCAAAAACAGCCCGGAGCUUGAGACACUAUCUGGAAUUGAGAACAUAUGGGUUCAAUUCCUGUGUCUGACUUUCUCGAAUGGGAGCAAUUUGCAUGCUACAAAAUUGAGAAGUAUUUCUGUUUUCUUCUCCCUCGUGUCAAGGACUUUGUACAGUAAUUAAUUGUUAAUACACGUAAAAAAAAUUCUAAUCAUUAUGUCAACAGAAAUGAAGACGAGGGAACUUCGGAAGUACCUACCAUCCGGCACAGUUGUUGAUUCUACAGAGUUUUGACUGUAGUUUCCAUAGUUACUGAGAGCAAGUAUGGGAAGAGGCACAAAGUCAUUUAAUUUUUUCAUAGCUGGGUCACAGUAUGAACUGAACACGUGCAAAGACUUUUAAAGAUUCAUUCCUUAAUGAAGUCUUCUUAUCAGAGAUGCUGGAAAUUUACUUAACAAGUCUGUCCUAAUCUUGUUAGAGCAUCUGCAUUUUAAGGUAUAAUAAUAUCACUUACUUGUUUUUCAUUAUUAAAAUGUUUUGAUUAGAAAGUCAGUACAGACAGUGCCUAUUCAAAAGCUGAUUCAUCUUUUCUCAUUAAAGGUAAGUGAAUGGAAAAGGAAUAAAUUGCUUUUCUAGCAGCAGCAACAGAAUUUGAAAAUCUAGGUCACAUUAAAGAACUCUUAAAUACAGGCUUUACACAUUGAAUUGUCUUUCUCAUUGCUGUGAAACACUGGGAAUAAAAUACAUGUUCAAUCACCAGUAAAUUAGCUAGCAAUUUGUUCACGUACUUGCUUUAAAGUAUCACUUCAUGAUACUUUAAAUACUUUUUUUUAAUGUGAUCAGAUGAUAAAAUUAUUCUGUCCUUCUAAGCAUCACCUUUUAUGUAGCUUCUCUGCUUGUACAUAACUUCAAUUUGGAAUGUUCUGAUUCUUGGACAUGAAUUUAAACCUGUGGGUCUAAUUUCUAGAUCCUGUAGGAAUAUCAACAAGACAGACCAGUUAGGGGAAAGCGUUAUUCCUCACUUGCAGCAAAAUGUGCUUUUAAUCCACGUCAGGAAAGUUCAGGUAUAACUCACGAUUUGAAAACCAUCUGUGAAUGGACAUUUCUUUGAAAUGGCAUUAAAAAACAAGAUUAGAAUUUUGUAAGGUCUUGACUAACUGGAUCAGUAGUUUGAAAAAAACCUGGGAUGUAACUCAGUAAGGACGAAAAGCCAAGUACUGCCCUCGAUACAAGAACACGGGUAGGUCUGGCUGGCCCUUGGUUCAGGGGAAGAGGCUGUGGAAGCCCAGGAAAGCACCAACUUCAUGUAAGUCAGUAACAUGAAACUAACCGGGAAGAGGAACACGUGUACCAGUCUAAGAGCUCGUAUGCUAUAUCUUAAAGCAAAGAAACCGAUUAGUCCAUUUUAUUUCCCAUAGGAAGGUCUCAAUUACAUAGCAUAAUGCAAUGUUGAUGAACUGGAAAGAAUCCAGAGAAACAAAAGAGUGAUAAAACAGCCAGAAGACAAGCUUUGUGAGCAAAAAAUGAGCAAACUGGUAUUAGUGGCUUAUUUUGGGAGCCAAAAAUUCAAUGGUGAAAUGAUAUCUUCAAAUAUAUUAAAAGGUACCACAAAGAGGAACAUACUAGGAUGUUUUCAGUAACCACUGGGAUGAGGAAAAGCAGCAAUGGACUUAAACCACAAUGAGGAGGAUUUAGGCCAAAGGAAAACCCUUCUAAUGGCAAAGAUAAUUAAGCAUGGGAAUCGUUUAGAAAAGCCAAGAAGUAGAAUAUGUUUCACAAGCACCUGUCUGGAUUCAUGUAGGUGUAAUUGCUGAAGGCAGGCAGGUGCUCUACCUAAUUGCUGGAGAUUCUUUCUAACCAUAUGUUUUCAGAUUCAUUAGUUCUAUUCCAAGUACUGUCUGAGUGCUAGUUUUGGAAGCUUCUGUGUGAUUUACAUUACAUAUAGACAUUUCUUCUGCUUCCCAUUCACAAGGCAUUUUUAUACCUCAUAUUCACAGAAGUAAUACACGUACAUUACGUUAUGUACCAAACAAGUCUUCACUUGUCUCCUUCCAAGUAUUUACUGUAAAAUCAAACCCAUCCUGGCCAAAGAAACAGGCUUUAUGGCUUUUUUUAGGUUGCAAGAUAGCACCUCAACACACACCCUAUCAAUCACAUUAAAACUGAACAGAAAACCCAAAGGUAAAACUAAGAGCUUUUGCUGUCUGCAAAACCAUUAAACCCCAAUGUGGCCUCACUAGGCUUAUUUAUUUAUUUAACAUUACAGACACUGCUUUUAAGUUCAGGUAUUUACUUAAUGAGCCUUGUUUUCUAUCAAGAAGAGCAGGAAACCAGAAUACCAGCGCUGCUAAUUAACAAAUGUAACAUCUAUACCUUUAAAGCACACAGCACAGAUCUUAAGAUUACUAUUUUUGCUAGUCAAAAACAAUGGGAGCCGUAUAGAUGCUUUAAGGACAUAUGUUGUAUAAUUUAAUAGGUCUCCUCCAUUUCUGAUUUGAGUAACUCACUGAAAUAUUUAUGGCCUUACCAGAACAGUGAAUGUACAGUUAUCUCUUCAGUUGUUAUUAUACUGCUCUUUCUCAAGCAGCUCUUUUUGUCAGGAAGAAAAGGUACAUUCUGAGUUUAUUAGCUGGAAGUAUAUUAAAGCUAUGCUGUCCUCCUAAUGCAGAAGUGUCCCUAGAAAGAUACCUCACACGGAAUUAUUUUCGUGCUCUGACACUGAAAAAAUAAAAACAUAGGAGCAUGAGCAAGUGCCAGCAAUCUGAAAAUAUUCGUGGGGUCAAUGGAAGGGAAGAAUUUUGAUAUCUGGUCUCUGCGAAUGCAUCUUUAAUACCACUAUGCUAAUUAAUAAAAGUCAAGAUAGCCACAGUGUGCCUGUCUUACACUUACAUCUAGAUUUCAAUGCACAUAAAUCAGAAAGGCAGGGGGAAACAUCCAGUGCUUACCUAUUAACUUCUCCACAACUUUCCCAAUCAGCUAAGCCAAAUAGCUGUACAAAAUCAUACCACUGCCAUGUCCUUAAUUUUAAGAACAAAACUAAUAAAGUAUAUGGCAUUAAUUUUAUCAUAAUAAAUAUACCAAGGCUGUAAUGUAUAAUUAAAAGGAAUAUGAAUAUUUAGCAGUAUUAACUAUUCUCAAAUUAGCAACUGCUGUAGCUCUGCCACCAACUUAUAACUGUGUCAAAGGAAUGAGAAGGGACAACUAACAGCUUGCCAAACAUGGAGCUAUGUUGGCAACGUACCAUAAUGUAGUUUAAAAAGUAAACAGAAGAAACUGAGGGAUUCCAUAUUUUAGCUGUUAAUGCCUGAGAUGUAAGACUUCAUCUUGGUCCAGAAAGUAACAGCAACUUGAUUACCAAGAGAACAAAAUACACUUUUGAAAUCUUCCUAUUCCAUAUGGCUGCUGACCACCAGCUCUUCCCAUUGCCUUCUUUUUACGUGCAAUCAGCAUACAAGGAAAAUGAAUGCAAACACUGGGCAACUGAACUUCUGCCUGUAGGACCUUCAUAAGCAAAUCCAAAAUGCCUACUGUGGUAACUAGAAAGAUCAACAUCAAUCAGGGCAACAGGAUUUUUGGAAGAUAUGUUUUUGGAGAUACUUUUAGUGAACUUCAUAAUGACUGCCAGAUCCCAGGCAGGAAAAGAGAUUAAAGGAAAAUGAUGUCAAGAAAUAGUUCAAGAUAUGCUGCUUUAGUGCCUGUGAUCAGAGAAGCAGGCUUCUGAGCACGUAACAGGUACUGAUGGUUGGGAUUAUACCAACAAGGGCAAGACUGUAUUUUUUAAUAGAAAAGUCAGAGGCAGGGUGAGGAAAUUAGCAGUCAGAAUACUUGAAUACUAUGUUAGUCUGCUGAAUGUUUCACGAUGCUCACUGCCUGCUAUUGUAUGAAGAGAUAAGUAUUUUCCAGAGCUAAUCAGAUUUUUGCCAUUCUCGUACCAAGUAUAUUUCUUUUUAAAUUUUCUAAUAGAAAAGAAGAAGUUGAUUUCUCUUUUUUUUUUUAGCAUGAUCUUUACCAUAUGGCUACUAAGUGCAGCAGCAACUACUUUUAAAUGUUACGGUUCCUUUGCUGAGGCAUUAUGAUCCUUUGUAAGAUGAAAGUAAUUUUCUUUGUGUCUUAAGGAGAUGGUAUUACUCUGCAAAGCAGAAAGGCCUCCCAAGACUUACUGCCUAAAAAUAGCUAACAGCCUUUCAGGAAGAUGAAGAAUGCAUCUUUCAAGAGACGUGCUUGAUUAUUCUGUUUAUUACUCUGAUUGGCAUCUCUGGAUCUGGAGGAUCCUGUAGUAGUAAGCACUUUAAAACAAAGGGGUUUGGUUUUGUUUGUUUUAUACAGAAUCCUGGCUUAAAUCACCAAACUGACAUCACAUAGCUGUCAUUCAACCUACCAAGCUGAAAACUGCUGUGCAGCACUGUUACAGACAAGGCAAUGUGUACUUGGAGAUUUUCAAGAAUACAAUGAACUUCUUUUAAACCUCUUCCCCCAGGCAAAAUGUGAUGCUAUUGUGCAGAGGUCACCCUGUGUGGCUAGCUCAUGCAUAUGCCAUUUUGUCCUGGAUGUCAAGGAUGAUUUUUAACAAGGAAAUCAGUUUUCAUUUAGGAACACUCUACACUUAGAUGUGUUUCACAUCUAUUGUAAAUAAAGUAAAAAAGUGUAUAAUGAUGAAUGUCCAGCAGUAGACUUUUAUCCACUUAGCAGUCUCAGAACUCUUCACUCCAGUUCUGUAAGAACUCAAUAACAAAUUUUAAUUUGGAGGCACUUGUCUGGAUAAAAAGGAAAUCUUCUAAGUAGUAUUUACAGUCCUUUUUUCUUUAAUGUACAAUAUUUAUGAAAUGCUACAUACAUGAGAGCCCUUUUUAGGGCAACACAUCUGCAAGAAAUCAGAAGAUCACACAGAAAAUGUGUUGUGAGAAUCUGGCCUAGAAGGCUGCAGACAGAAUGUCAGUAGACAGUUACUGUGCUGUAACUAUUUGUCUUUUUUUUUUUCUUUUCUUUGAGAGAGGAAAGCUUUAAAGCUUUAAUCUCAUACACAAGCUCAUCACAUCCCAAGUCUAUCUGUAAUGCUCUCCAAAUGAGAAUGAACUCAGAAGGAUGACGUUCAAUCUUUAAAUCCUUCUCUGCAGAGCUGUUUUUAACUUACAGGUUCAUAGAAGGGAUCCUUGCUGUGGCUCUGGAGCUUUCUGACGUGUCCUACCUGUUAUGUUUGACAACCACAUGGUAGAAUUCAAUUGCAUUUAGGACUAAAAGUUUUCCUUGCAUGAUUUCCUGUGUAGUGUGAUAGAAACAACCUAAUGUGACAGAACACUUCCAUAGUCACUUGUGGAAAACAAAUUCCCCUCCCUCCUGACCACUGUUAUUAACUUAAAAGCAAAGAGUAUAUGCAAAAGGCAAAGGAAAAAGAACCAAUGUAAAAACUGGAUCCGCUGCUACCAAACUGCCAGACCACCAAAACAACGUACAUGCUAACAGAAAUAAUACAAGGAAACGCCCCGUGCAUUUUCCUAGAAAAAUAUUUAAAAAUUCCAAAAAACCCAGUGACUUCAUUAUCAUUCACAGCACUGUUACAAUGUCUUAUUUACUUUUUUGUUCUUUGUUUAUACUAUUUAUUUCUGAAGAAGUCACACUAUUAUCUGUUACAUGACUCAGUGAAUUAGUGAAUACAUCUAAUUUACUUAAAUAGGGUAAUUACUACUACACCCAGCUGACAGUGGUAGCCUUUAUGCAAUGAACUGUCCUGUGAUAUCUGCUUAAAAUUAAGGAGGAAAUGCAUGUAUAUUGUAAGAGCAUUAAGAAGGAAGAACACUUGCAACUCCAGACAUAUAAAAGUUUUUCAUCAUUCUACUUUCUGUAUCUUUCCAAAUAAGUACUGAUUGAAUCUUAAGCAACCAGAAUGAAGGCAGCUCUGUAGUCUCAGAAUCAAAUGAAAAAAUAAUACAGUGAAUAAAUUCUUCUGGGUGAGACAGACCACAAAAACGACAAUGAGAGAACAAUGCACUUGUAAGAGUUAAUGUUAUGGUAAAGGCUAGAGCUGGAAACACUGACAGGAUAGGAGCAGCAGUCCCUUGCCUGCUUUUGUAGGUCUUCUGUCAUUCUGAAAGACACUGCAUUCUGGUAACCAUACCCAUACUGCACCCUGAGCACAAUGGGAACAGAACCCAUACUCAGGAGCCUUUUUCCACACUUGGGCAAAAAGAAACAAAUAGACUGCUGAAACUGAUUGUGCUCAAUUACUGAGCAAGGUGCUAAAGCUCCAACAUUUAAUGAAAGAAAUGAAGUAUUUAUGUGCAUGUAUACAAGUGUACACACACACACAGGCAUGCAC